rnacentral:rRNA from 1 species
CCUACGGGGGGCAGCAGUGAGGAAUAUUGGUCAAUGGCCGGAAGGCUGAACCAGCCAAGUCGCGUGAAGGAAGAAGGAUCGAUGGUUUGUAAACUUCUUUUAUAGGGGAAUAAAGGGAGCCACGUGUGGAUAUUUGCAUGUACCCUAUGAAUAAGCAUCGGCUAACUCCGUGCCAGCAGCCGCGGUAAUACGGAGGAUGCGAGCGUUAUCCGGAUUUAUUGGGUUGAAAGGGUGCGUAGGUGGUUUUUUAAGUCAGCGGUGAAAGUUUGUGGCUCAACCAUAAAAUUGCCGUUGAAACUGGCAGACUUGAGUGUGUUUGAGGUCGGCGGACUGCGUGGUGUAGCGGU